GGGCCCGCACAAGCGGCGGAGCAUGCGGCUUAAUCCGAUAUACCCGUAGAACCUUACCUGGACUUGACAUAUAGGGUCAAGCUAUAGAGAUAUAGUGUGCAUUAGCGCCCUAUACAGGUGGUGCAUGGCUGUCGUCGAGCUCGUGUCGUGAGAUGUUGGUUAAGUCCCGCAACGAGCGCAACCCCUGUCCUAUGUUGCCAGCAUUUAGUUGGGGACUCAUAGGAGACUGCCGGUGAUAAACCGGAGGAAGGUGGGGACGACGUCAAGUCAUCAUGCCCCUUAUGUCCAGGGCUGCACGCAUGCUACAAUGGCAAGUACAACGAGUCGCAAUACCGCGAGGUGGAG
rnacentral:rRNA from 1 species